UUCCGGUUGAUCCUGCCGGACCUGACUGCUAUCGGAUUGAUACUAAGCCAUGCGAGUCAUUGUAGCAAUACAAGGCAGACGGCUCAGUAACGCGUAGUCAACCUAACCUAUGGACGGGAAUAACCUCGGGAAACUGAGAAUAAUGCCCGAUAGAACACUAUACCUGGAAUGGUUUGUGUUCCAAAUGAUUUAUCGCCGUAGGAUGGGACUGCGGCCUAUCAGUUUGUUGGUGAGGUAAUGGCCCACCAAGACUAUUACAGGUACGGGCUCUGAGAGGAGUAGCCCGGAGAUGGGUACUGAGACACGGACCCAGGCCCUAUGGGGCGCAGCAGGCGAGAAAACUUUGCAAUGUGCGAAAGCACGACAAGGUUAAUCCGAGUGGUUUGUGCUAAACGAACCUUUUGUCGGUCCUAGAAACACCGAUGAAUAAGGGGUGGGCAAGUUCUGGUGUCAGCCGCCGCGGUAAAACCAGCACCUCAAGUGGUCAGGAUGAUUAUUGGGCCUAAAGCAUCCGUAGCCGGCUCUGUAAGUUUUCGGUUAAAUCUGUACGCUCAACGUACAGGCUGCCGGGAAUACUGCAGAGCUAGGGAGUGGGAGAGGUAGACGGUACUCGGUAGGAAGGGGUAGAAUCCUUUGAUCUAUUGAUGACUACCUGUGGCGAAGGCGGUCUACCAGAACACGUCCGACGGUGAGGGAUGAAAGCUGGGGGAGCAAACCGGAUUAGAUACCCGGGUAGUCCCAGCUGUAAACUAUGCAAACUCAGUGAUGCAUUGGCUUGUGGCCAAUGCAGUGCUGCAGGGAAGCCGUUAAGUUUGCCGCCUGGGAAGUACGUACGCAAGUAUGAAACUUAAAGGAAUUGGCGGGGGAGCACCACA
rnacentral:rRNA from 1 species